GAAGCAUUACUGCGUCCAAGUCAAAUUCUCUCUCUCUCUCUGAGUCUCUGUGAUUGUUGCGCGGUCGUUUUGGUAACAAGUAGACUAUAAAUAAAGGAUAAUAGAAAUUGGAGAAAGAAUAUUAGGAGAGGAAAGAGGAGCAAGAUGGGUUACGUGCUGAGACUGAGAUUGGCGUCGUUCUUCAUGGGGGCUGGAGCGGCUUCAUUUCUGGGGCUUUACAUUAUUCACAGGGAUUACAGGGUUGCCCAGAAGGCCAUUGCCGAACAGAUCGAAGGAAUCUCUAACUCACUUGAUAGAAGAAUUUUGGCUUUGGAAAAGUUUAAAGAAAAUGAAAUUUCGGAACCUGUGGGGACAACAGAGUAGGUGCAAUUGCAAUUUGAUAAUGUGGAUGUGGGUCCAAGAUGAAUCUUACUGAACCCUUUCUGUUUAAGGAAUAAUUACAGCUUAUCUUUGCUGCAUUGCUCAAAACUGUUGAUGAAAAUAGCCACUUGAAUUUGAAUAUUAGUGCCUGGAGCAAUUAAAUUGUGUUUGUAGUAGCUUUUGUAAUCAGUAGUAGGUAGGGAUGCUCUUUGUUAGUUAUUUAAGUUUUGGUUAUGAAGAUGUUUGUUUAAUGAUGAGAAGUUUGGCCCUUAAA